GGGAUNCGCNGCUAUAAUGCAGUCGAGCGAAUGGAUUAAGAGCUUGCUCUUAUGAAGUUAGCGGCGGACGGGUGAGUAACACGUGGGUAACCUGCCCAUAAGACUGGGAUAACUCCGGGAAACCGGGGCUAAUACCGGAUAACAUUUUGAACCGCAUGGUUCGAAAUUGAAAGGCGGCUUCGGCUGUCACUUAUGGAUGGACCCGCGUCGCAUUAGCUAGUUGGUGAGGUAACGGCUCACCAAGGCAACGAUGCGUAGCCGACCUGAGAGGGUGAUCGGCCACACUGGGACUGAGACACGGCCCAGACUCCUACGGGAGGCAGCAGUAGGGAAUCUUCCGCAAUGGACGAAAGUCUGACGGAGCAACGCCGCGUGAGUGAUGAAGGCUUUCGGGUCGUAAAACUCUGUUGUUAGGGAAGAACAAGUGCUAGUUGAAUAAGCUGGCACCUUGACGGUACCUAACCAGAAAGCCACGGCUAACUACGUGCCAGCAGCCGCGGUAAUACGUAGGUGGCAAGCGUUAUCCGGAAUUAUUGGGCGUAAAGCGCGCGCAGGUGGUUUCUUAAGUCUGAUGUGAAAGCCCACGGCUCAACCGUGGAGGGUCAUUGGAAACUGGGAGACUUGAGUGCAGAAGAGGAAAGUGGAAUUCCAUGUGUAGCGGUGAAAUGCGUAGAGAUAUGGAGGAACACCAGUGGCGAAGGCGACUUUCUGGUCUGUAACUGACACUGAGGCGCGAAAGCGUGGGGAGCAAACAGG
rnacentral:rRNA from 1 species